rnacentral:lncRNA from 1 species
UUCAGAUGACUCGUGACCUUGCUAGUCGUAGCAAUACAACAAACAUGGUAUAGGAAAAAUUAACAUUACAUCAAACAUAAUAACAACUGCAUAAUAAUAUUCUACGCGUCGUAACGAGAUCGUAGGAACAAGAAUCACUAAAUUCGGAGUUACGAUUAUCAAGUUAUGAUUUUAUAAAGAUUUAAGUGUUGGACACAAAAGAAAUUGAGUGCAUAAAUUAUACCUUUGUUUCAUAAUAAAAUAAGGUUACCAAAUGAUAAACAAUAUUAUUAUGAAUUUAUAGCAACUGGAAUAAAUUAAUUCGGACCUAAGAUGAAUUAAAUAUGAAUUAUACAAGUUUCUGGAAUUAUUUUUAUACUAAAAAUCAAUUUUCCUAAUUAUUUCUCUAUUUUUAUCUCUCUGGACUGCACGUUAAAUUCCAGAAAGAUCAGGGGUUAUUUAGAAAAUAAUUCCCAAGACUCAUGAUUCCCCCAGUGUGGACGGCGGGUUAAAUACUAUGAAGUUCAGGGGCUCUUAAGAAAAAGGGAACUCGCGAAGGGGUACGGUGAGGUUUGGGUCGUCCGAUCCAAUCCGAACGGCCAAGAUUUCAAAUAGGUGAUAUCCCAACGUAUCCCUCCGAUUACAUAUCAACGGCCAGAUCGAAAUAGAGCGCAGGGGUAUGAGAGAUCUAAUCUAAACCGUUGAUAGCGGAUUGAACGGCGAGGGGCCAUCUUCUUCCUCCCGCGUCUUCUCCCUCCACCGCAGCCAACGCGGCGGCGAGGAACCUACCGCGACGGCGCCAACUUUAGCCGCGGCGGCGAUCUCGCCGACGAGGAGGUGGUCGGGAAACACAGCGCUCUCUUCAAUCUACCGACUGCGCCCACGAAGGCCACCCAUAUCCCAUGGCCGCGCUGCACACUGACAGUCCUAAUCCCACGUACGCACUGCCUAGGAGCCCAAACGAGACUAACCCAGUCUUCAUUACGAACAGAAUAAGGUGCAUCGUACAGGGGGGUUAUUACCGUGAAUCAUAUGGGGUACAGAACCACACCGGCGCUGACGCCAAAGGAGAUUCUCGGCCACCCCGAAGCUUCGUGUACACGGAUGACCUCUGCACGUCAUCAGCUCUCCAAGGCGCAUGAAGUAGCUACGCCAGGGUUCGGCUCUCGGUGUUGGCAUGGUGAACGAGGGAGGUUUGGCUGGCAUAUAUAUACGCUAAGGAGAUUUCCUCCAUGCCGAGUGGACGGAGUCUGUUACGGAGUUUGUUGAGUCUGAUUCGUGGCCAGGAGAUCGA